GCACCGCAAGGUGUCAGCGGCAGACGGGAGAGUAACACGUGGGAACGCGCCCUUCGGUUCGGAAUAACUCAGGGAAACUUGAGCUAAUACCGGAUACGCCCUUACGGGGAAAGAUUUAUUGCCGAAGGAACGGCCCGCGUCCGAUUAGCUAGUUGGUGAGGUAACGGCUCACCAAGGCGACGAUCGGUAGCUGGUCUAAGAGGAUGAUCAGCCUCACUGGGACUGAGACACGGCCGAGACUCCUACGGGAGGCAGCAGUGGGUAUUCUAGAAGUCUCCUACAUUUCUCAG
rnacentral:misc_RNA from 1 species